GUUCACUUCAGCUGAACAUAUCCGAAAAUUGGAACAAUACAGCGAAGGUUGGCAUGACCCCCGUGCAAGGGUGACAGGCAGAUCAGUGAAGCAUUUCAUACUCUU